rnacentral:tRNA from 1 species
GCCUCCUUGGUGGAAUGGUAGACACACCAGAUUUAGGAUCUGGGAUGAAAUAAUAGUAGUGUGUAGGUUCGAGUCCUACAGGAGGUA